UUAAAUAUUUCAAAAAAAAAAUCUACGUUCUGCUUAAAUGAUGCCGCUUAUUUCUCCUAUGAGCUUUAUUAAAAUCGAUCGAAAGUCCGCGUUUAAUGGAAAAGAUGUGCGAUGAAAUCAAUAAAUAAUUGAUGUCAAAUGGCCUAGCGAGAACCACAAAAUCAUUUUGGGGUGGGGAGCCUCUGGUCCGAGCCUGGCUACGUCUCUGAGUUAAAGUGUUAAUCAACUCAACAAACCAUUUUAUCUUGUUAUUUCUUUUAAAUGAUAU